UACGUAGGGUGCGAGCGUUGUCCGGAAUUAUUGGGCGUAAAGGGCUCGUAGGCGGUUUGUCGCGUCGGGAGUGAAAACCAGGUGCUUAACACCUGGCUUGCUUUCGAUACGGGCAGACUAGAGGUAUGCAGGGGAGAACGGAAUUCCUGGUGUAGCGGUGAAAUGCGCAGAUAUCAGGAGGAACACCGGUGGCGAAGGCGGGUCUCUGGGCAUGUCCUGACGCUGAGGAGCGAAAGUGUGGGGAGCAAACAGG
rnacentral:rRNA from 1 species